GUAAAACAAUCGCGCAUUUCUUUUUUUUUACAUUAGCUCACUAAAACUCUGUAACUAGUAAGCAAGAAAAAGGCAGUUUCUCAAUUCGCGUACUUGUGCGUGUUCGUGGACUCGUGAAACGUCAUCAGUCGUUGCCCGAGCACUGUUCCAAUUCGAAGUACGCAUCAAGCCGCAUCAAGCGAGUACAGUCGUAAAACCCGGAAGUGUUCUUGAUGCGUGCUCGAUCUCGCCGUUUCUCCGAGCAUGCAUGAGGUGGCUCGUGUGUACUUGCAACCGCUAUAAAUCCCAGGAUGCAUUUCGCACUCGCCGCAGUACGAUGGCGGACUAUAUGGAGAAGACGCACAACUUAUAUGCCUAAAUGAGGCCUUAGCACAGUUAACGGACGAGCAGAGGUGGUGACGUCAUCGAGUCCGCUGCUGUUCCAAUUGCAGGAAUACAGACCAUCAUGAAGUCACUGUGGCGUCCGGAUACACACGCAGAACCGCGGCCAGUUGUUCCAUGUCCCGAUGUUCCAGAGCCGGGGAUGAGUCUUCAUUCUGGGGCUCGGGCUGCACUUUUGUGGAUGUCUGCGAAGCGGGGGCGUGGUCAUUGUCCGCUGGUUCUGUGAAUGGAAAUUAAAAGCGUUUCCGAGAAUUCACACACACAAGCAGUGCGUCUGUGCUGCUGGUUUGUCUGCGUAUCUGUUUGUCCUGCCUGGCCUGGCGAAACAGGCCAGGCCAGUUUUGACCUCCUGAUUGAAUUUAAACCCCGCUCCAAGCUGUGGACUCAACCCGUUUGGAUUCACCCCCAAGUCGCUCUGAGCAAUGUGACGACUCCAUUCCUCUGUGUUAUAAGCC
ensembl:lncRNA